UACGUAGGGGGCUAGCGUUGUCCGGAAUCAUUGGGCGUAAAGAGCGUGUAGGCGGUCCGGUAAGUCCGCUGUGAAAGUCGGGGGCUCAACCCUCGAAUGCCGGUGGAUACUGUCGGGCUAGAGUGCGGAAGGGGCGAGUGGAAUUCCUGGUGUAGCGGUGAAAUGCGCAGAUAUCAGGAGGAACACCUAUUGCGAAGGCAGCUCGCUGGGACGUUACUGACGCUGAGACGCGAAAGCGUGGGGAGCAAACAGG
rnacentral:rRNA from 1 species